rnacentral:rRNA from 1 species
AGUGAACGCUGGCGGUAGGCCUAACACAUGCAAGUCGAACGGCAGCACAGUAAGAGCUUGCUCUUACGGGUGGCGAGUGGCGGACGGGUGAGGAAUACAUCGGAAUCUACUUUUUCGUGGGGGAUAACGUAGGGAAACUUACGCUAAUACCGCAUACGACCUACGGGUGAAAGCAGGGGAUCUUCGGACCUUGCGCGAUUGAAUGAGCCGAUGUCGGAUUAGCUAGUUGGCGGGGUAAAGGCCCACCAAGGCGACGAUCCGUAGCUGGUCUGAGAGGAUGAUCAACCACACUGGAACUGAGACACGGUCCAGACUCCUACGGGAGGCAGCAGUGGGGAAUAUUGGACAAUGGGCGCAAGCCUAAUCCAGCCAUACCGCGUGGGUGAAGAAGGCCUUCGGGUUGUAAAGCCCUUUUGUUGGGAAAGAAAAGCAGCAGGUUAAUACCCCGCUGUUCUGACGGUACCCAAAGAAUAAGCACCGGCUAACUUCGUG